rnacentral:snRNA from 1 species
ACCUUGGUGCAGUGGCAGUAUCAUAGCCAAUGAGGUUUAUCCAAGGCGCGAUUAUUGCUAAUUGAAAAAGAAAAUAAAUGUGAAGUGUGCAAAAUGAUAAAAGCUUGAGAAGAAUGGGUUAUAGGAAAAUUUUGACGCUCUGUUACAAUUGUUUAAGUGUAAUCAUAA